rnacentral:piRNA from 1 species
AUCGCUGUACGGCCUUGAUGAAAGCA